UUAGACUACCCAGUGACGUGAUUGUGCCCAAUGAAACAGGAGGCCUCGAUUCGUGCAGAAGAUAAGGUUUGAAACCCAGACAGCACGAAGCAUCUUGCCGACGUCAAAAUCAGAUCAACAGACAGGGACAUCAGCCUUCUCUUGGGAAUAGGCCAGAUAUGCCAGAACAAGAAAUGUCUAUAUCUUGGACUGAAAAAGGAUGCUUUGCCCCUGCGGUUGUGAAGAGGAUGCUGUGGAGGUGGCAGCAUGAACGUGUCACACAGACAUUGGCUAAACUACUCGGCUUCUACACUUGCCCUCAGAGUUCACAUAUGGUGAAGUGCACAGGUGUCCAGUCAGGUUCAGACUGAUGCUGGUAACAAGAGGAAAACAUGCUAAUUGGUCAGUCCAUGAGCCCACGUCUUCAGGUCAUGGGCCUGAGAAGAAUCUACCGUUACAGGGGUCAGAAGAGAUCCUCAAACUAUGCUGACAUUACUACCCCUGUACUUCAACCCCUCUGCUGCCACUGGGUCCUCAACGAGAAAAUAAACUGAUUCCCCCCCCAAUCCAUUCCUUUUUCCACCGUCACAUCACACCAUGCCUAUGCACAUUAACACCACCAAUGAGCCUAGAAAACUAGGACAACAGUGAGGAUGAAUUUAGAAACCGCUUCCACGUAUUGUACUAUUUCUGAAAAAGCAUUGGUAUUGGCCUUCUAUCUCCACGUAGCCAUAUCAAAAAACCUGCCUAAAAAAAAAUCAAUUUUGUCGUGUUUCCGCUUAAAAAGGAAUUUAGAAACCGCUUCCACGUAUUGUACUAUUUCUGAAAAAGCAUUGGUAUUGGCCUUCUAUCUCCAUGUAGCCAUAUCAAAAA